rnacentral:lncRNA from 1 species
GACAUUUGAAACUACCGAACAAAUGAGGAGAAAAGAAAGAGAAAGGAGGAUCAGACUAUAGAAAAGAAACAUCAAAUGGAAAACCACUAGAAAAUUGAAGCGAGAAAGAAGGACCAAAUGGAGGAGAGGUUUAAAGAGCACUGGCACCCAAGAAGAUGGUGGUGAUUGGAAUGUCUUCUUCUAGUGACUACAAUGGUAGGAGAGUGAUUGACAAAGAAGAUAGAAAAUCAACUGCACAAAACAGAAAGGAGGAUGAAAGGAGCCUAUUAUACCACUCAUCAGUGGUCAGGAUUUGGCCUCUCACCAUG